CUCCUGAGACCCCAGUGCAGGCCUGAGUGAGGUCACGCUAUUUUCCAUAUAUGAUCAGGCCCUACAUGGAGUGUAGAGCCUGAGAGAAUUAUGAAAGUGUGGCAGGUGAAUUAGGACCAGGGGACCUGGAG
ensembl:scaRNA